rnacentral:rRNA from 1 species
AGCGAACGCUGGCGGCAGGCCUAACACAUGCAAGUCGAACGAACCUUUCGGGGUUAGUGGCGGACGGGUGAGUAACACGUGGGAACGUGCCUUUAGGUUCGGAAUAACUCAGGGAAACUUGUGCUAAUACCGAAUGUGCCCUUCGGGGGAAAGAUCGAUUGCCUUUAGAGCGGCCCGCGUCGGGUUAGCUAGUUGGUUGAGGUAAUGGCUCACCAAGGCGACGAUCAGUAGCUGGUCUGAGAGGAUGAUCAGCCACAUUGGGACUGAGACACGGCCCAAACUCCUACGGAAGGCAGCAGUGGGGUAUCUUGCGCGAUGGGCGAAAGCCUGACGCAGCCAUGCCGGGUGAAUGAUGAAGGUCUUAGGAUUGUAAAAUUCUUUCACCGGGGACGAUAGUGACGGUACCCGGAGAAGAAGCCCCGGCUAACUACGUG